rnacentral:rRNA from 1 species
AACAGAGGCCUAAAUACCUUGAAAGCACUAGAUUCCUUCUGAUCUCUGAAUCUAAGCAAGGUCAAUCCUGGAUAGCUGUGAGACUGACAUGGAAUAUCAGGCCCUGGGGGCUGCGGCUC